rnacentral:rRNA from 1 species
GAUGAACGCUCGCGAUAGGCUUAACACAUGCAAGUCGAGGGGCAGCACAAGGUAGCUUGCUAUCUGGGUGGCGACCGGCGCACGGGUGCGUAACGCGUAUGCAACUUGCCCUAUACAGGAGGAUAACCCGUCGAAAGACGGACUAAUACUGCGUAUGCUCACAACUUGGCAUCAAGUGGUGAGGAAAGAAAUUCGGUAUAGGAUAGGCAUGCGUCCCAUUAGCUUGUUGGUGAGGUAACGGCUCACCAAGGCAACGAUGGGUAGGGGAACUGAGAGGUUUAUCCCCCACACUGGUACUGAGACACGGACCAGACUCCUACGGGAGGCAGCAGUGAGGAAGAUUGGUCAAGGGGCGCGAGCCUGAACCAGCCAAGUCGCGUGAAGGAUGACUGUCUUAUGGAUUGUAAACUUCUUUUAGACGGGAAUAACAAGAGUCACGGGUGACUCCCUGCAUGUACCGGAUGAAUAAGCAUCGGCUAACUCCGUG